rnacentral:lncRNA from 1 species
GCUUUGCUUCACUUAAGACUUGGAGUUUUGUGGCAUGCUAUGAAAAGUGUGUUUUCUGACCAGCAAGAUUGCUCUACCAUACACACGCAGUCUCCGGGAAUGGUAUCACUGAAAGAACAAAUAUAUGAAAACUGAUAAUGAAGAGGAUGAUUUUGAGAGCAAGUCUUCCACCCCCACUUCAUUACCUGAGCAUCCUAUGGAGUCACAUAUGAAGAUUGGGAAAGAUGCACCACCUGUUUUGCUCUUACAUUUCAGCUUCCUCCUGUGGAA